rnacentral:rRNA from 1 species
UACAGAGGUCCCGAGCGUUGUUCGGAUUCACUGGGCGUAAAGGGUGCGUAGGUGGUGAGGUAAGUCGGAUGUGAAAUCUCGGAGCUUAACUCCGAAAUGGCAUUGGAAACUACCUCGCUCGAGGGUUGGAGGGGGGACUGGAAUGCUUGGUGUAGCAGUGAAAUGCGUAGAUAUCAAGCGGAACACCAGUGGCGAAGGCGAGUCCCUGGACAACUCCUGACACUGAGGCACGAAAGCUAGGGGAGCAAACAGG